ACCAGGACUCCUCCAUGCGCAGUGACAGAAACCUGUCUGAAAACAGCUUAAGCCAAAAGAGAUUUUGUUGGUUUGCAUCACAAGGAAGUCAGAGGUGGAGCAGGCCUCACUGGGAGCUGGAAGGAAGACUCCAGCAGUGUGUGCUGUCUCUCUUCUCCUCUGGGAUCUGCGUGGGACUCUGUGUGGGCCUGGGACUGACAGUCCGCUCCCUAUGUGGCUAGGCCUGUAACGGGAACCCGGCAGCAGUGGGUGGUGGCCUGCACGGGGCUAAGCCAGGUGGCAGGGUUCUCCCUGGAGUCUGGGGCCCUUAGCGUCUGAUCCAGUCCUUCCUGCGGCGGCUGCACCGUGACCUCCACUUUCUACAACACCCCUGCAAGCAUAGGAGCCGGCUCCAUCCCAGGCCUCUCUGCUUGUCCAAGAGACAGUGCUCGGGGAGCAAGGAGGAGAAGAGGAGGGACCCAGACACGCCCGGCCUCCAGCUCUGCAAACCUCUCCUCCCCACCGCUGUGAGACAGGGGAGUGGCUUAGCUCUCCUCUGACUCCAGGCCUGGACCAGGUGACCACCCAGCAGCCGCCUUCCAGCUCCACCAGCUGCAGGGUACAGCUGGUCCCGGCUCGGAGCAGGCGCUGCCAGCAGCAAAGUCCCAUCUUGGAGCUGCACAUCUGUGCGACUGCUGACCAGAAGCUCUAGAGUCAACGGGACCACAUGAGAAAACAGGUGGAGGGUGAGAGAAGUCCGUGGGAGGGGGACCUCGUGCUGUCCAGGGACCCUUCAUUCCACCCCUUUUGAACUCCUGGGCUGGAGAAGCAUGAGCUACUGGGACACGGCAGCACCCUUUCUCUGGGCCUAUUGGCUGGUUAGGGCGGAGGAGGAGGUGCUCUGAGUUUGAAGGUUUUCAGGCUGGGCCAUGAGGGGUAAAGUCCAACCAACCAAAGCCGGGCUGGAAAGAUGACAGGGUCUCAUUUGUAUGGCAGUGAAAGAAAUUUCUUUCUCCGGAUUGUCUCGUAGGCCGAGCACUGGAUUCAUUUGGAAGAAAUACUUGGAUAAGUUGGUUAGGGUGAGGGUGGGGCAAGGAGCUGCUGAGAACCCAAGGUCUCAGAGCUCUGCCUUCCCAGGAGGCUGGGUGCUGCUCCCCACAGCCUUUUGCCUCUGAGCACUGUGGUGGGUGUGGGGAAUGUGGUUUAAGGUGGGAGCUGGGGCUGACCUGAAGUGCCCCGUAACAGAAGGGAAUUUGGAGCUAGGGAGGAAGGCAGCCAGCAAGGUGGGGUGCUGCUCAGGGAAAGGAUGGCGAUGCUGGCUCCAUCAGAGGGGACCUGGGGACCAGAAACAUCUAGUAGAGGCA
rnacentral:lncRNA from 1 species